CCUACGGGAGGCAGCAGUAAGGAAUAUUGGUCAAUGGAGGCAACUCUGAACCAGCCAUGCCGCGUGCAGGAAGACAGCCCUAUGGGUCGUAAACUGCUUUUAUACGGGAAUAAACUUUGAUUCGUGAAUCAAGCUGAAUGUACCGUAAGAAUAAGGAUCGGCUAACUCCGUGCCAGCAGCCGCGGUAAUACGGAGGAUCCAAGCGUUAUCCGGAUUUAUUGGGUUUAAAGGGAGCGUAGGCGGCCUAUUAAGUCAGGGGUGAAAGACGGUGGCUCAACCAUCGCAGUGCCUUUGAUACUGAUGGGCUUGAAUAUAGUUGAGGUAGGCGGAAUGUGACAAGUAGCGGUGAAAUGCAUAGAUAUGUCACAGAACACCGAUUGCGAAGGCAGCUUACUAAGCUAUGAUUGACGCUGAGGCUCGAAAGCGUGGGGAUCAAACAGGAUUAGAUACCCUGGUAGUCCACGCCCUAAACGAUGAUAACUCGAUGUGUGAUAUACAGCAGCGUCACGACGAAGACGUAAGUUAUCACCGUGGAGACGCCGCGACGGUAGAACGUACGAAAGAAGUAGACGGCGUAGAGACGAGCGACGGACGACGACGAGGGGAGGUAGG
rnacentral:rRNA from 1 species